UUUAAGCACAGUUCUGUGUAACUAUAAAACAUAGCAUAAAUAUUUAUAGGUCUUUAUCCUCAAAUAAUUACAGCCAGCUUUAUUUAUUAGCUGCUCUCUGCUGGAUUAGCUUAAAGGCAGAGUGAUUUUCCUACUGAGUAAAAGCAGCUUUGUUAUUUGAAAUGUAAUCUGCAGCAUGGAUUGUACAGCAGCUCACCUGCAGACACUGACGUUCAAGUAAUGUGGAAAUGUAGAUUCAAUAUUCAUCUUCCUUUCAAGCAUGUUCGCAUUUUCAGCUUUUCUUACCCCAUACUUUUCGUUCUGAAUUCUCUCCAUAUGCUUUGCCUACAACCACUUGAAAGGGUCCUGAGUGUUUGCAAGUUCAGAAUCCACGGAGCUCAUGUCAACUCAUGCUUUCACCUCAAGUGAUCUCCAGUAACUGAAUUUCCCCAACACGAGUUCCCGAGCAAGAUUGCACAUAAUACAGGCUUGUAUAUGUGAACUAGUCUAAUUCACAGCCUUAUAGAAGUACCUGGAGACAUCUGAGAAGUUCAUGGAGAUAG